UGGCGGCGUGCCUAACACAUGCAAGUCGAGCGGAGAUGAUGUGAGGAAGUUUUCGGAUGGAAUCACAUUAUUUAGCGGCGGACGGGUGAGUAACGCGUGAGCGACCAACCUUGCACAGGGGGAUAACGGACCGAAAGGUUCACUAAUACCGCAUGAGACCACGGUGUUGCAUGACACAGGGGUCAAAGGAGCAAUCCGGUGCAAGACGGGCUCGCGUCCGAUUAGGUAGUUGGUGGGGUAAUGGCCCACCAAGCCUAUGAUCGGUAGCCGACCUGAGAGGGUGAUCGGCCACAUUGGAACUGAGAUACGGUCCAAACUCCUACGGGAGGCAGCAGUGGGGAAUAUUGGGCAAUGGGGGGAAAAACCCCCUGACCCAGCAACGCCGCGUGAAGGAAGAAGGUUUUCGGAUUGUAAACUUCUGUCCUUGGUGAAGAGAAGAAGACGGUAGCCAAGGAGGAAGCCCCGGCUAACUACGUGCCAGCAGCUGC
rnacentral:rRNA from 1 species